AACGAACGCUGGCGGCAGGCUUAACACAUGCAAGUCGAACGCAUCCUUCGGGGUGAGUGGCAGACGGAUGAGUAACGCGUGGGAACGUGCCCUUCAGUUCGGAAUAACCCAGGGAAACUUGGGCUAAUACCGGAUACGUGCGAGAGCAGAAAGAUUUAUCGCUGAAGGAUCGGCCCGCGUCUGAUUAGCUAGUUGGUGAGGUAAUGGCUCACCAAGGCGACGAUCAGUAGCUGGUCUGAGAGGAUGAUCAGCCACAUUGGGACGGAGACACGGCCCAAACUCCUACGGGAGGCAGCAGUGGGGAAUAUUGGACAAUGGGCGCAAGCCUGAUCCAGCCAUGCCGCGUGAGUGAUGACGGCCUUAGGGUUGUAAAGCUCUUUCGUCCGGGACGAUAAUGACGGUACCGGAAGAAGAAGCCCCGGCUAACUUCGUGCCAGCAGCCGCCGUAACAC
rnacentral:rRNA from 1 species